AUUGAACGCUGGCGGCAGGCCUAACACAUGCAAGUCGAACGAGUGGCGGACGGGUGAGUAAUGUCUGGGAAACUGCCUGAUGGAGGGGGAUAACUACUGGAAACGUUAGCUAAUACCGCAUACCCUCGGCUUUGCCCAGAUGGGAUUAGCUAGUAGGUGGGGUAACGGCUCACCUAGGCGACGAUCCCUAGCUGGUCUUAGAGGAUGACCAGCCACACUGGAACUGAGACACGGUCCAGACUCCUACGGGAGGCAGCAGUGGGGAAUAUUGCACAAUGGGCGCAAGCCUGAUGCAGCCAUGCCGCGUGUAUGAAGAAGGCCUUCGGGUUGUAAAGUACGUUCAGCGGGGAGGCGUUACCCGCAGAAGAAGCACCGGCUAACUCCGUGCCAGCAGCCGCGGUAAUAC
rnacentral:rRNA from 1 species